rnacentral:rRNA from 1 species
GGUGAGGAAUACGUAGGAAUCUGCCCUUAAGUGGGGGAUAACCCGGGGAAACCCGGAUUAAUACCGCAUGAUCUCGAAAGAGCAAAGCAGGGGACCGCAAGGCCUUGCGCUUUUGGAGGAGCCUACGUCGGAUUAGCUAGUUGGUGAGGUAACGGCUCACCAAGGCGACGAUCCGUAACUGGUCUGAGAGGAUGAUCAGUCACACCGGAACUGAGACACGGUCCGGACUCCUACGGGAGGCAGCAGUGGGGAAUAUUGGACAAUGGGCGAAAGCCUGAUCCAGCUAAUGCCGCGUGUGUGAAGAAGGCCUUCGGGUUGUAAAGCACUUUAAGUUGGGAAGAAAAAGCUUCACCUAAUACGGGAGCCUGACGGUACCGCAGAUAAGCACCGGCUAA